rnacentral:rRNA from 1 species
GAUGAACGCUGGCGGCGUGCCUAAUACAUGCAAGUCGAGCGAACAGACGAGGAGCUUGCUCCUCUGACGUUAGCGGCGGACGGGUGAGUAACACGUGGAUAACCUACCUAUAAGACUGGGAUAACUUCGGGAAACCGGAGCUAAUACCGGAUAAUAUAUUGAACCGCAUGGUUCAAUAGUGAAAGACGGUUUUGCUGUCACUUAUAGAUGGAUCCGCGCCGCAUUAGCUAGUUGGUAAGGUAACGGCUUACCAAGGCAACGAUGCGUAGCCGACCUGAGAGGGUGAUCGGCCACACUGGAACUGAGACACGGUCCAGACUCCUACGGGAGGCAGCAGUAGGGAAUCUUCCGCAAUGGGCGAAGGCUUGACGGAGCAACGCCGCGUGAGUGAUGAAGGUCUUCGGAUCGUAAAACUCUGUUAUUAGGGAAGAACAAAUGUGUAAGUAACUAUGCACGUCUGGACGGUACCUAAUCAGAAAGCCACGGCUAACUACGU